GCCCACUAUUCUGCUGAUGAGGCUCUCAUACUAAAGCAAAAAGCAGAGGACGUGCUCCCUUACCUGAAUGACCGCUGUGUUUAUCUAGUUGGAAUGAUGGGUUCCGGCAAAACUACAGUGGGGAAGAUAAUAGCUGAAGUACUAGGCUAUUCAUUCUUUGACAGGUUUGAACUUCUCUCUGACAACUGCA